UUAACAUCCUGUCCCCGUGGUACUUACCUCGUAACUCUGACCGCUCUUACCUCAGCAGGUUAACCCCUGAUCAAAGGUCACAUGACAACUUUAGUCGGUAGCUGGAACCAGUGAGUUCAGGAAGGGAAGAUGACUGGACGGUGGUUCGUCGGCUUACCUGUGAUAUAUCAAAAGAAAAAAAAAUAAACUUUGAGAUUUUGAUGGAAAGAUUUAAUCACAGAAAUUGCAUUUCAGCAUUAAGAGAGACGAUAUCAUCGUUUGUCGCGAGACGACAAACAGGGUAAAGGCGGAGACCUGCCACGCGCAGAAUAUGAUUUGUUGGGGGACUCGUUUGUCAAGCGGAAAUGACAUUCGAUCACUUGAUUGUUGUGAUCAGACCACGUAAAGUUCCACAACUGUGCAAACAACACGUGUGUGCAAAUACCAUCGGCUUUAGUCACGUGUAAACGACGAUUAAACAGUUUACAUUGUGUGUAAGCGAUCAUGGAAAAUGUAAUCAGUAGUGAACUUUAAGUGGUUCACCGUGCCUAGGGGAUUUCUGCUUGAUAGAUUGGUUGUCUAGUAGCAGAGCUGAAGUUCCCCCUCGGAAGCCGUAACAAACGGACUUAAAAAUGUAUUCAGUUUAGUUUGAAAAAGCGAAAACUUUCACAGAAGACUUAUUAGAACAUUUUUAAAUAAAUUUAAAUCAGGAAAAAUAAAAGUUCUGCAUGCCGGUUGAGAAAAACAAGGAUAAAAGGAGUGCAAUGGCCACACAUCUCCGGGUGUGUCGGGGGCAGGAGCCCAUGUUUAUUUGUUCAGAAUGGGAUUUCCAAGACUGAUAAUCUGCUUUUUUUCCGCACGCCACCUGUACAAUCGAUACGUCACACCUGCACGUCACUUUCUUCCACCUCGAUCCUCGUCUGAGCCUCGAUACCCGUGGGUGUAUUUGCUUUCCGUGGGUGAGGCCUGCACGUCAUUUAGCACUUCUGCAUCUCGAGUAUCAUCUGGCCGUGUUUUUGUUUCCUUAUUUGUCUCGUUUUACCUUGGCUUUAUCGCCGAUACCCGCUAUUUUUACUCACCUGUGUUUUCCCAAGGUCUUGUGUUCACCUGAGCCGGUUUCAUGUUUUGUUGGAUUUUUGGUUUCCAUGGAUGAGAACAGGCAUCACGCUGGGAGAACAAUGUCUGAGCUAUUUACAGUCGGGUGGCUGGGUUCUUCUUGUUUUGGUCUCUACAGAUGAUAAUUAUUUGUAAGCAGCCCGCAAAUAGGAGGAGGAUGCUGACAUGCUGUCUGACAAGAAAUUAUUUCAAUUUCCGCUUCAUCCUAAUUGUCGGAAAGCUUCAUGGUGAAGACAGAUUAACGGUAUUGCAGGUAAAUAUUCUCGCAUCAAACCCACACUUACUCUUGCAACCUCUUCUCUUGAGUUCAGCUUUUGAGUAGUUCAUCAACUGAUUCACUAAUUCCUCCAAAGCCAUCAAUAAAGCUGCAAUGAAUCGUUUGUGAUGAACUUGUCCAGCAGAGGAAUGUUUUGUGGGUUACUAGUUUGUAUCGCCAUGGAGACGAUGUUGCAUUGUUUUGUUAGGCCGUUGGAAAACCGCCAAAGAAACAAAAUGUUGAAUGUCGUUUCAGUUGUCUGAGGUAAUAAAAACAACAAACGAAAAAGCUUUGCCAAGUCCAUUUAGUGUAUCAAAAACAACAACAAGAAGAAGCUUAAAUAAAAAACAAAAACAAAAAACAAAAACAAAAAAACAAAAAAACAAAAAACAAAACAAAAAACAAGAGCUUUUGUUAGGCCGGCGUUUCGUGUUCCUUUUAUUUGUCGUUUCCUUCUUUUUUCAAACGACCAGAGAUUUCUUUGAAGGAAAAAAGCGUCUGACGUGUUCUCUACGUGUUCUCUACGUGAUGACUGUUUAGUAGCUUGAAUGAAUAAAUAUAUACGACACAAAGUACAGAGAAAGGUGAAAAGGCUUCAGCAUUCUAUUUGAUUUCUAGAUAAUGUCGGUUGAUUACAUUCCUGUCUGCCCUUUGUACGCUCCUGAAGAUGAUAUUUAUCCUGUGCGUGUAUCCUGCUGACAGGUACACACAGUAGUGCUCAACCCUGGAGUAUGUUUACACUGCUCACCUACAUCAUUAACUCAUUGAUGAAGAAAGAACCUUGUAUUAUGUAUGUGGUGUUCACAUGUACAUAUUGUUCAAGUUGAUGGUGACCUGAAUACAAUUUUAACUCGGACCUAAGUUUUUGUGUUUUUAUUUACAUGUGCACGUGCGGAUGUAGAGUUGUUACAAAAGUCUUGAGUAAACACGUCGUGGUGUGAGUGUUGUGUUUGUGUGUGUGUGUGAGUGAGAGAGAGACAGAAAGGGAGACAGAGUGUAUGUAUGCAUUAACUAAUUUUCAUGUUAUACCAAGAUUUCUUCAGAGAAUCCGAGAACUCUCAAAAUUAUUUCACUGGCAUCCCCGUCGUAAACUGAUUUGAGAAAGGCCGGUGUAAAGCACGUGAGAACCACACCUGUGUGAAAGGUUGCCACCUGCCCGGACGGACUAAGUACAGGUAAGCGCACCACGCAGCGUCGUUUCCGAUGCCGCUACAGGUUCAUCUGCUCUGGUCAAUACGAUGGGCGUGGUCACAGUUCUUCUUCCUGUCACACGCCACUCGUCAACUCCGAUCCAUCGCCUACCUGCACAGGUAACUGCUACAUGAUACAAGAACGGUAACAACCAGGUGUUACAGGUGAUAAGAACAAAGUGCAGGCUUAACAACCCCGGCGUCUGAAGAGCUGUUGCCGAGGAGUUUAGGUUUUGUUUCUGUUGGAAGAAUUAUAAACAGAGUCAAGAACUGGGAGGUGCAUCCAAACCCUGAGGGGAGGGUUCAUUGUGAUGAUAGCUCCGUUGUCUGGCAUACCCGCCGUGUAAGAACCUCCACCUGUUGAACGAACGACCUGGGUGGUGCUGUACACAUCCUCCCAAGAUGCUUUCAUUCGGAGUGGAAGCUUCGCUCAUCACAUCCCCUCACCUGAGGGACACCUGACCAGCCUUGACCCUACAGUGGCCUCAGGUGAUGGCGGCGGCGGUGGGUAGAACCCUGUGGACGUUGUGUUCGCCUUAUCGCUCGACUUCAAAUCUGCGGUCGAAGUUGUCGUCGGGGUGAAAAAAAAAAAAAAAAGGAAAGCAAACAAACUGACGCAACCAUGUGAUAAAACUAUAAAUCAUGGAAGCGAGCAUCGAAUGAUCUAGACCGUUCAACGUUGCGUUUCGCCGAUUCCCGCCGAUAAGGAAGAUUGUAGUGUAUCGUAAUGCCAUCGAUCUGCAGCCGGAACUUGAUACAGAUGCUCGGCAGCUUGGGUCCUGCUGCAGACAGAGAGACAAAGUUCAGGCUCCGCAAUCCCAGACUUGUCUGCAGCUCACACACCCGCCACUCAGCUGUAAUAACAAUACCUACGGACGUUGAAGGAAGGGAUUACACAGUUUUUAGUCGGAUGUAUCGAUGCACCCUGACACGUCCUGCCGACAGAAAAGCUUUUCCGCAUUGGCAGACGGCUGAAGCACAACAUGUAUGACGAUUGGCAUAAUGAAAACAUGGGUUAGCACACAAACGAUGUGUGGUUAAGGCUUCCUGAUGAGUUAAAUCUCACGAGUCGUCUUCGCUCAGGACUGAUGUUAAUUAUCUCCAGACCUCGGGCCGGAUACAGCAAAGAAGGAAGGACUUACAAGUACUUUAACCAUGCCCCUGCGGGUGAGUCGGGUGAAGCGCAAGCAGCAGGGUGCACAUUAUGAGUGGAAGGCCGGGUAUGUCUGCAGUCAGCGGGAGAUUAAAACAAAAAAACUGCUUUCACACGGAAUUGCAAGUGAGUGCAAGUCUUGAACACGACCAGAGUGAGAAUGGCUUCUGACUGGGAACGAGGUUCUCUGCUCAGAAAGCGAUGACUAAGUGUCUGAGAGCAGACGUGCCCGCCGGGUGGUGAACGCAGCUCACCCUUGUUGCAGGGGUCGCACACUUCAUGGCAGAGGCGUGUCCGGCGCGCUUGCCGCAGGUCAGCGGGUCACUUCCAGUGGAGUGGCUGCUGGUGUCUCUUCUGUACAUGCUGCUGGCCACGGAGAUCAUCAACAUCCUCCGAGACCGGUAUAUGAUCCAGGGUCACAGGUCAGACCUAAAGGACCCGACACCUGCAAGCCGACCUCUCGUUACUUCAACAAGGAAACCGUGCGGCAUGUCUCACAAGAAGAAAGCUGCUGGCUCAUUGGACCAUUUGUGGCGACGCAUGCGGCAAGCGACCAAUCAGAUGAGGCUUAUUAACCUGCGCCACCAAGUCAUCACCAAAGUGAUGAUGGAGUCUCGUAUCGAGGCCCGGAUGCAGGAGAGAGAGAAGCAGCAAAGGAAAAAGCAGAAGCUUCUGGCGGAGUUAAAGUGACACAGUGUGGACAUGACACAGUGUGGACAUGACACAAUGUGGACAUGACACAAUGUGGACAUGACACAAUGUGGACAUGACACAAUGUAGACAAACUAUUGGCUACGCGGACUCAUCCCAAUGUUAGUUAACAGAUGUUCUGUGUGACACUCAUUGACUGGAUGCUGUAGUAGCCGAUGCAUUUAAGCUUGAUGCUGUGAUGAUAACAGACGGGUGGAUGUGCAUGAUUUUCAUGGAAGAGGUGAGAAGAUGUUUGGAGAGGUUAAAGGUCAAUUUAAGCGCUAUACAAAAAAACGGGUAACAAUGUAUUUCACGAUGUUCCGAGAGAUCAAGAUUCUCAAGAAGUUAAUUAAUUUCAUCUCGAAUUAUAAUCCAAAGAAGUUAAUUCAAGACAUUUCUCAGAAAUAUUCCGAUUCAAGUUCCAGAAAGGCCAGGCUUACCCUAUCCCCUGUGUCUUGCCUCUUUUAUUGUUAGGAUCCUGCAACAUUCUUAAACAUCUGUUCUGUCUACAACAGUGGUUUUUUUUUCAAACGACAGGAAAAAGAUCGCUAGAGUCUGCUAAUAUUGUCGGUACCUUUAAGGUUGUUGUCCCUUUCUAAAUCCUGUGUGGGAUUCUGGUAUAACUUUGUUUUGAAACAGCCAGUCAUACAAUUCAGUGUUGAAUGACUGACGAAUAACAUUUGCCAAUCACAGCAGAGAGAUUCCUCUGUAAUUAAUGUGGGACUCAUGGUACAAUGACAACUUCUUUCCACAAGUGGGGACAUUUCCCAUUCACAAACACAUUGUUAAAGUAUUUGUUCAAAAUCCCAGAACACGUUCUACUCCUACCUUCAACAUUUCUGCCAAAAUGUUGUGUAUACCACAUGCCUUACCACAUCUCAGGCCCCUGAUUACUGAGUGUACCUCGUUUUCACAAAUAAUGUCAUUUACUGCUUCAGUUCAGGCAGGUGGUCAUUGCCACCUGGGUUUAGUCUGGAACAGGACAGGGUGUGAAAUAAUUGAAUGAUUUCUUUGAUACUGCCACAAACUAUAUUCAAACAGCUCUGAUAUUUUGUGCAUCAUCCUGGGCAGAUAAAACUUUGCCUCCUGACAAUCAUCGUCAAUCCUUUCUGUGAUUGUGUGCAAACAAUAAUUUUCUUCAUGUCCGUUGCAGGUGACUAGAGGCUGUUCACACCCUCAUGGCAAUAUUCGUGUUCUGUUUGACAAACUCGUGUUAGGUUCACUUGGUCUUGCCCUGUAGUCAACACAGAUGCGCCCUUUCUCCUGUCCCUCUAUUGUUUGUAAACAAUUUUCACCUGCACGUACAUCGGCUUAGUGUUGGUGAGACUGGCAGGUUGUCAGACUCUGUUUUCUUCGUUCAGUGUACAAACCUUCAUCACAAAGUUCAUUCGAUGUGCAAACAAACCCUAGCAGACUGGAUCCUGCCUCCGAGUUGAAAGUCCUACCACCAUCUACAUCGAAACAAGACUACAACCGUUAAAAAAUGUAGCAUUCAUAGUGUUAACUAUUGGAUCUUCUGACAUCAUGAGAGAGAGAGAGACAGAGAGAUGAAGUGUGUAUUUAUCUUCACGUGUGUCUCUGUGUCUCUGUGUGUCUGUGUGUCUCUGUGUGUCUGUGUAUAUCUGUCUAUUUGUACGUGUAUGUGCAGCCUCUAGUAAUCGGUUUUGUGUCUCGGCUUGACUGAAAAAAAGAACGAAUAAUAGCAGAAAUCGUGCCGUGAAAGAUAAAAGAAAGGUUUCAACUAGUCACAUCAUUGUGUGUAUAUGCGGGCAUCCCUGCAAAAAUGUGCAGAAUGUGAAAAUAACUGAAAAUAAAAGAGAUACAUAUAACAUACUUCUUUGCGCCCACGCGUGUGUUGGUGUUGCUGGUGGUAGUGUGUUUGUGUGUGUGCGUGCGUGCGCAUGUUUUUGUGGAUGCAUAUGCUAGCAACUAACAUGAGCUUUUGUCCUUAAAGUACCAGUGGGAUACACACACAAUCUCUUAGUCUCGUUCUACCAUCCCUCUCUCUCUCUCAAUCAAUCUACCUUUACCUCUCUCUCUUCCUUCCCUCUAUCUCUCUUUUAGAUACAAUUAAUUACUUACUCUCUGGAACACUCUCACACGCAUAAUUAGUCACUGUUUCUUUCUCCCUCCUAUCCUCUCU